UGAUGGAGCACGCCGCGUGAGUGAAGAAGGGUUUCGGCUCGUAAAACUCUGUUGUUAAAGAAGAACAUAUCUGAGAGUAACUGUUCAGGUAUUGACGGUAUUUAACCAGAAAGCCACGGCUAACUACGUGCCAGCAGCCGCGGUAAUACGUAGGUGGCAAGCGUUGUCCGGAUUUAUUGGGCGUAAAGCGAGCGCAGGCGGUUUUUUAAGUCUGAUGUGAAAGCCUUCGGCUUAACCGAAGAAGUGCAUCGGAAACUGGGAAACUUGAGUGCAGAAGAGGACAGUGGAACUCCAUGUGUAGCGGUGAAAUGCGUAGAUAUAUGGAAGAACACCAGUGGCGAAGGCGGCUGUCUGGUCUGUAACUGACGCUGAGGCUCGAAAGUAUGGGUAGCAAACAGGAUUAGAUACCCUGGUAGUCCAUACCGUAAACGAUGAAUGCUAAGUGUUGGAGGGUUUCCGCCCUUCAGUGCUGCAGCUAACGCAUUAAGCAUUCCGCCUGGGGAGUACGGCCGCAAGGCUGAAACUCAAAGGAAUUGACGGGGGCCCGCACAAGCGGUGGAGCAUGUGGUUUAAUUCGAAGCUACGC
rnacentral:rRNA from 2 species